CACGUAGGGGGCAAGCGUUGUCCGGAUUCAUUGGGCGUAAAGAGCUCGUAGGCGGCUCAGUAAGUCGGGUGUGAAACCCUCAGGCUCAACCUGGGGACGCCACUCGAUACUGCUGUGGCUAGAGUCCAGUAGGGGAGUGUGGAAUUCCCGGUGUAGCGGUGAAAUGCGCAGAUAUCGGGAGGAACACCAGCGGCGAAGGCGGCACUCUGGGCUGGUACUGACGCUGAGGAGCGAAAGCGUGGGCAGCAAACAGG
rnacentral:rRNA from 1 species